UUGGCCUACGGGAGGCAGCAGUGGGGAAUAUUGGGCAAUGGGCGCAAGCCUGACCCAGCAACGCCGCGUGAAGGAAGAAGGCUUUCGGGUUGUAAACUUCUUUUGUCAGGGACGAAGCAAGUGACGGUACCUGACGAGUAAGCCACGGCUAACUACGUGCCAGCAGCCGCGGUAAUACGUAGGUGGCAAGCGUUAUCCGGAUUUAUUGGGUGUAAAGGGCGUGUAGGCGGGAAAGCAAGGCAGAUGUGAAAACCACGGGCUCAACCUGUGGCCUGCAUUUGAAACUGUUUUUCUUGAGUA
rnacentral:rRNA from 1 species